rnacentral:rRNA from 1 species
UACGGAGGGUGCAAGCGUUGCUCGGAAUUAUUGGGCGUAAAGGGUAGGUAGGUGGUCUCAUUUGUCUGGGGUGAAAUCCUUGAGCUUAACUCAAGAAGUGCCUCAGAAACGGUGAGACUAGAGUUCUGGAGAGGGUCGUGGAAUUCCCGGUGUAGCGGUGAUAUGCGUAGAUAUCGGGAGGAACACCAGUGGCGAAGGCGGCUCUCUGGGCCUUUGCCUGACGCUGAGACGCGAAAGCG